UAGGGAAUCUUCGGCAAUGGGGGGAACCCUGACCGAGCAACGCCGCGUGUGUGAAGAAGGUUUUCGGAUCGUAAAGCUCUGUUGUUAAGGAAGAACGAGUGUGAGAAUGGAAAGUUCAUACUGUGACGGUACUUAACCAGAAAGGGACGGCUAACUACGUGCCAGCAGCCGCGGUAAUACGUAGGUCCCGAGCGUUGUCCGGAUUUAUUGGGCGUAAAGCGAGCGCAGGCGGUUAGAUAAGUCUGAAGUUAAAGGCAGUGGCUCAACCAUUGUAGGCUUUGGAAACUGUUUAACUUGAGUGCAGAAGGGGAGAGUGAAAUUCAAUGUGUAGCGGUGAAAUGCGUAGAUAUAUGGAGGAACACCGGUGGCGAAGGCGGCUCUCUGGUCUGUAACUGACGCUGAGGCUCGAAAGCGUGGGGAGCGAACAGG
rnacentral:rRNA from 1 species